AGGGGGAUCCUAGGAAGAGAAAGUUGGGGAUGUAGCCGAUAUCCGCGGCCGGUUGUCCCAGAGUACCCUGCAACCCUGCAACUAGUGUGGCUCAUGCCGCCCGUCAAGCAAACUUCAACCCUCCGUUUCCCCUUCCUUGCUCUGAGUCACAGUGGAGCGGCGUCUCGCCCUAGAGGCCUGGCCAGGUAGUUUAUUCUGAUUUCUGCCUGAAGUCUCUCUCAUCACCCACCUGCCGAAGAUUCUGUAUUGCGUGAAGAAAGGCUGUCUCAGAUCCCCAUGGAAAAAACUUUAUCAGGAAAGAGCUAACAGCAAAGGACCACCUGGCUCUGACAUAUUCUAAGAUAAAACCCUUCUCUGUUAUUCCUCAUGACUCCCAUAAGAAUUACCAGUGAUUCCCUUGUUUACUUUCCUCUAAAGGAUCCAAGGUCCUCUUCC